GGAAAAAAGAAUUAAAAAGCAGGAAAAUAGCUUAAGGGAGCUCUGGGACAACAUGAAACGUUACAACAUCUGCAUUACAGGAAUACCAGAAGGGGCAGAGGAUGAGCAAGGAACAGAGAACCUAUUU